ACCCGUGCUGUUCAUUUACCUCCCUUUUAUACAUGAUUCUGAUGUAACCGUCGAGCACAUGGUUUCGCUUUUUAUGGUGCUAAAUUAUCGGGCUAUAAUCAUUGAGUUAUUGGAUUGUUUACUCCCACUAAUGAUCGUGACACGUAGUCGAUAAUCGUUCAUAACAGUUAGGGUGUGUUGGAAAGAUAGGCCAACUAUAUGUCAAUAAUAAUGAUAAA
rnacentral:lncRNA from 1 species